rnacentral:misc_RNA from 1 species
GCAGCUCAUUUGGAAUGCCUUGGCUCUUUUAUAUCAGGAAGAAUAAGCCUGUCAAAGACUCAUCCAUGCAUAGGGACCGCAACUAUACCGGUGGAAUUACGAAUUUGCCGAGUCUUGCUGCUCCAAUGGCCUGUGCAUCCAGUGUAGUCAGUAUCUUAGGUAUCGACAUUCCUCCUGAGAUGACAAUUUCAAUUCCUUCUCGGACAGAGAGAUUAGGCCUUAGGAUAUCCUUUGACCUGAUGAGGAAGAUGUCUCCAAGAUAAAGGUGAUUUGUAGGCACAUAAAUGGAGCAGAGUUCCUCUGUACCCAGUCGUCCACGAAGAAUAACAGUUGAUGUGAUGAAACCAAAUGCGUAUUCUCCAUUAUGUGGAUGUCUUAUGAUGGCUACUUCCUUGAAGGCAUUGGAGGUCUGAUCUGGUGAUAUCGCAGCACUGAUUUGUUUAGAGGCGGAGUAAAUAUAGCUAAUAAGAGGCAUUUUCUUGAUAAACCAUUCUCCCAAAUUAAGAAGAGAGGCUCCCAACCAUGAAGACAUGAACACACCAAUCAGGAAUACAAAAGUCAUGGAAGUCACAAAUCCAAAGCCAAAUACAUUGAUUCCUAGAUGAGUAUAGAUUGGAGAGAAGAUUCCAUCCACAAAACAGAUAAACCACCAGGUGACACAGAAUGUGAUGGCUAUAGGAAGUAAAAUUACACUGCAAAACAACACCAAAUACUAGCUAUUCAUUUACCAAACUCAUUAAAAUAUUAUCAGAACAUAUACUAGCUAAAUUACUCCACUAAUUUACAUAAAUUGGGAUCCACUAUUCAGGUGGGAACUACUCCUUGUGAUGUAAGUAUGAAGCAUGUAUAUUUAGUGUGCAAAGGCUGAGAAUUCAGUAAAAUUGUGAAGUGCUCAGAGGAGG